rnacentral:sRNA from 1 species
UGUGCGGAGCCUAGAUGGUCAGGGCUGAGCAGGCUCUAAGAGCAGUCUCUUGCCCUGGUUGUCCUGUCGGAAAGGCUUCUUGUGGAUGUGUGUGGGGAUGGUGGUUGAGGGGGAGGAGGCUGGAGAGGCCAGGAGAGGGCCAGCUCUCCACCUGUCCCUGCUUCCUGCCUGUCCUCUGGCAGUGCCCAGUGCUGUGUCUUCACUGACAGAUGACCUUCUCAAGUACUAUCACCAGGUGACUCGUGCUGUGCUAGGGGAUGAUCCGCAACUGAUGAAGGUUGCACUCCAGGACUUGCAGACGAACUCCAAGAUUGGGGCACUCCUG